rnacentral:rRNA from 1 species
UAGUCCACGCCGUAAACGAUGAUUACUCGCUGUAGGCGAUACACAGUCUGUGGCUAAGCGAAAGUUUUAAGUAAUCCACCUGGGGAGUACGAUCGCAAGAUUGAAACUCAAAGGAAUUGACGGGGGCCCGCACAAGCGGAGGAACAUGUGGUUUAAUUCGAUGAUACGCGAGGAACCUUACCUGGACUUAAAUGUAGAUUGCAUAGCUUAGAGAUAGGCUUUUCUUCGGACUAUUUACAAGGUGCUGCAUGGUUGUCGUCAGCUCGUGCCGUGAGGUGUCGGGUUAAGUCCCAUAACGAGCGCAACCCCUAUCCUUAGUUGCCAGCGGGUCAUGCCGGGGACUCUGAGGAGACUGCCACCGUAAGGUGUGAGGAAGGUGGGGAUGACGUCAAAUCAGCACGGCCCUUAUAUCUAGGGCUACACACGUGCUACAAUGGGAUAGGACAAAGCGCAGCUAACUCGCGAGAGUGUGCCAAUCGCAAAAACCUACCCUCAGUUCGGAUUGG